rnacentral:rRNA from 1 species
UACGUAGGGACCAAGCGUUGUUCGGAUUUACUGGGCGUAAAGGGCGCGUAGGCGGCAAUUCAAGUCAGCUGUGAAAUCUCCGAGCUUAACUCGGAACGGUCAGCUGAUACUGUUUUGCUAGAGUGCAGAAAGGGCAACCGGAAUUCUUGGUGUAGCGGUGAAAUGCGUAGAUAUCAAGAGGAACACCUGAGGCGAAGGCGGGUUGCUAGGCUGACACUGACGCUGAGGCACGAAAGCGUGGGGAUCAAACAGG